CCUACGGGUGGCAGCAGUGGGGAAUAUUGGGCAAUGGAGGCAACUCUGACCCAGCAACGCCGCGUGAAUGAUGAAGGCCUUCGGAUUGUAAAGUUCUUUUCUAAGGGAAGAAGAAAGUGACGGUACCUUAGGAAUAAGCCUCGGCUAACUACGUGCCAGCAGCCGCGGUAAUACGUAGGAGGCAAGCGUUAUCCGGAUUGACUGGGCGUAAAGGGUGCGUAGGUGGUUUGGCAAGUUAGUAGCGAAAAUCGGGGGCUCAACUUCGGAACUACUACUAAAACUGUUUGACUUGAGUGCAGGAGGGGCAAUCGGAAUUCCUGGUGUAGCGGUGGAAUGCGUAGAUAUUAGGAGGAACACCAGUGGCGAAGGCGGAUUGCUGGACUGUAACUGACGCUGAGGCACGAAAGCGUGGGGAGCAAACAGGAUUAGAUACCCGGGUAGUC
rnacentral:rRNA from 1 species